GUGUUAUAUUAUCAACAAGCGUUCGUUUACAUGCGACAGGGUUUGUAAAAAAGAAAUACAUAGACCAAUCUCUUGGCCUACAAGAGGUUCACAGGUUUGUGAAAGAAGGGGUCAGAAAGGUGUGCACUAAGUGUCACCCAGUCAAUGAACGACCAGCACAACCUUUCCUCGAAGUGGUAUUCGAUAAUGAUCCUUCCGCAGGUUCACCUACGGAAA
rnacentral:misc_RNA from 1 species